rnacentral:lncRNA from 1 species
AUACAUCACACCAAGUUUAUCCAAUUCUCCUUAAUUGAGGCACCAUUGCCAUGCACAACCAAUUACUGAUGGGUCCACACUGUUAACUUGUUUGAUGUUACUUUUCUCAUAUACAGUCAAAGCUUCUGCCAUUCUACUCCACGUUUUGAUUACUUUCCAUCCUUACCAACCUAGCCUUGUUCCAACAAAUGUCUGUAUCAUUUCUAAGUGCUCUCUGUGCUAAGGUCGUGGUUGCCGCUCCUGUUUCGAUGUCAUGUUUAUGCUCUGGAAGCUUCUUAUGUAGCAAUACCUUUACUGCAAAAAUGCAAUAACAUACAGACUGAAAAUUUAUAUUGGGUGCUAGUGUGACAGGUUAACAAAUGCAACAGAAACAACUUAAAUAAUUUGUGGUCAAAAAUAAAUUAUGUGGAAGAGUGGAUGGAGGCUAAUGACAUCAUGUGUGUCAGAGACAAUAAGACAAAAAUAAUUGUUUAAUAAAGAGGAGCACUUACAAAACAUUCUUAAAUGAAUUUGUUGUUAGUAGUAAAUGUCAAUUGCUUACUGAAGAUCCAAUGGAAGCGAUUAAUAAAGAGGUGCUUAGAAUUUUAAGAAAUAGUAAGUUUCUGCACUUUUUGAAAGGUUCAGUAGUGAGAUCCCCAAGACCACCACUCUUGUUUGCAUUUGUAAAAAGGCAUAAAAAUCCAUUGGAAUCUAGGCCUGUUGUAGAAAAGAGAUCUGCACCAACUUAUGCAUCAGAAAGACAAAUAACAAAAUGGUGCAAGGAUAAAUUAUUAAAUUAUAGAUGGAAAUUAUAGUUGGGUCGCCAAAACAGUUGAUUGACCAGCUAUUGGAAGUUGGCCUGUUAUUGGAAGAAAAAUUAGAAUAUUUGAUUUUAAGGCACUGUAUUAUCUAUUAAACUAGAGCCAGCUUGUGUUGAGUUAUAUCAUUUCUUUUUACAACAUGUACCAAGAAAACAAUGUGAUCCAGCCCUCGAGAGAUAUUUGCCAUAUUCUUGUACAUCAUUCAUAUUUUCAGUUCAAAAACAAGUUUUAUGUUCAUAUAAAAGGAGUACUGAUUGGCAGGCCUGUGGCUGGGAGUAUUGCAGAAUUAGUAGUUAGGACAAAAUAAUGUCUUACCAGCUCUCUCAGAACAUGUAAAACUGUAUAAAUGAUAUGUAGAUGACAUACUUGUGAUAGCAGAGGGGAGUAUGUAUGUUUUUGACCCGGAAAAAGAAAUGUCAGAUCCAGUGUUAAGAUUGCUUCUUAUUAAACAAAACAGUGAUGAAUUUGAAAUACCAUAUUUAGAUAUAGGAAUAAAGAUAAUAAGAAGACGAUAUGAUAUUAAUGUUUGUAGCAAGGAGACAUAUCAACCAUUAUUUAUUAGAGCUGGUGCUAAAGAACCUUAGUCUUAUAAAGCUGCC